CCAUUUUCAGAAACUAAACCUAACAUUUCAACAUAUACAUACAGAUAUACUAUAUGAAGGAUUGCACAUUUUACUACAUGGGACAAAAUAAAUAUGGAUACAAUCACACAAUGACUAUUAUAUGUUGGUUUGGCAUACUUAAACCAAGCACAAUACAAGCUUCGCCAUGAUAGAUAUCAUGUCUUGUAAUAAAAUCACAAAGGUAGAAGUGCCAAGAAAUCCCAAAAACCAUAAACAAUCGUUUAUAAAUGGCCAUGGUUGGCUACUUCUAAUUUCUUAAAACCUUACUGUUUUAUUUUUAUUUCUAU
rnacentral:lncRNA from 1 species